UACAGAGGUCUCAAGCGUUGUUCGGAUUCAUUGGGCGUAAAGGGUGCGUAGGUGGCGCCGUAAGUCGGGUGUGAAAUUUCGGAGCUUAACUCCGAAACUGCAUUCGAUACUGCGGUGCUUGAGGACUGGAGAGGAGACUGGAAUUUAUGGUGUAGCAGUGAAAUGCGUAGAGAUCAUAAGGAAGACCAGUGGCGAAGGCGGGUCUCUGGACAGUUCCUGACAGCUGAGGCACGAAGGCCAGGGGAGCAAACGGG
rnacentral:rRNA from 1 species